UCGAACGAUGAAACCGCCCUCGGGCGGACAUGAAGUGGCGAACGGGUGAGUAACACGUGACCAACCUGCCCCUUGCUCCGGGACAACCUUGGGAAACCGAGGCUAAUACCGGAUACUCCUCGCCCCCUCCUGGGGGGCCCGGGAAAGCCCAGACGGCAAGGGAUGGGGUCGCGGCCCAUUAGGUAGUAGGCGGGGUAACGGCCCACCUAGCCCGCGAUGGGUAGCCGGGUUGAGAGACCGACCGGCCACAUUGGGACUGAGAUACGGCCCAG
rnacentral:rRNA from 1 species